GUUUGGCUAUGUGCCUAUGGAAACCGACCCCGGCUAUGUCCGGGCGAUGAGGUUGUUCGGCCUCAGACUGUGGAGGGGCUCAGCCCCUUUUCCCGUGACCGGGGAACACUUGUCAGGCCUCAUGGUGUGACGAGCAGUAGGAGCGGGCUUUCCUGGUGCCCUGCAACCGCCCCCAACUAUGAAUAGGUAAGCCUCGCAAGACGCGGCGUGUUCUGCUAAGGGGAUACGGUUUACCGCCACGGCUUUGUUUCCCUGUAGGAUUCCAUGCCCUAUCUAGUUCCCUGUCCCCCGUAAGGUGGUGACGCAGCUUCCCCUCUGCUUGGCAGGGGCAGCCGGUGUCAUCCACCGCCAUGGGGCUGCUAGCUGGGCUACGGUGGGCGGCCUGGCCAGGGCUGACUGAGUGGUUCUCAUGAGAGAGCGGUGAUAGCCGUGCGUGGUCGUGUGAAGGGCGUGUUUAGUGAGUGAGAGGCAACAUUUGUGGGUCGUUUGGGAUGGGCAGCCUAGCAUUUGUAGAAGGGUCCAGGCAUGAGGUCCGGGGGUGUGGGGUAAUAAGCACUCCCGUCUGUCUAAUGCUUUCCAGGGUGUCGUGGGUUGUGCACGAUGUCCCAUCCGGCGGAGUGAACAGCGGUGGCAACGUCGGCGUACUGAGCGUGAAUCACUAGACAGGCGAAGAGGUGUAACAGGGAAGCUUCCCCUCUCUUUCCUAUGGAAGAGCACACGGCACGCACCAGCUGCCAGCCGUCCAGCUUCACUGCGUCCAGGCACCACAUGUCGUCCAGCGUAAUCUCCUUGGAGCCGAUCU
rnacentral:lncRNA from 1 species